AAAAGAUCUGCAGAUGGUAACGUGCAUUCAAGUAUAUUUUUUCCAGAAUUGCAGGCCCUUGAAUUCUCUCACCGACCUUCCCUUCAGGAAUGGCAUCUAUACUACUAGCUAUAAAGAGAGAGAGCCCAUCAAUCAUCAGCACGUCUGUGUCCCUCUCGUAGCCUCGCUCUCCCUUUCUCAGCGGCGCUUCUCCUCUCUUCCUCAAGCUGUGGCCGCAAGCUCUCUCAUCAGCCAUGGCCGCCGGGCGUCGGCGCCGGCGGACCUCCCUCGCCCGCGGCCUAACAUUAGGCUCGGGGACUAUGGUGCAGCCAAGGAUGACUUGCCGAUCGAUGUGACGCCUCUUGAUCUCGUCGUCGUCAGAUCGUCGCCGAUCAUCGGCAAGUUGUUCUUGGCUACACCGUGGCUCCUGCUCCUGAUGUAAGGCUCCGUCUACGGCGACACUUGGCCGUCAGAUGAUCGACGACAAGCAAGGCCAAUCAAGGUAUUUAUAUAUACACACACAUAUAGUUCUACAACAUCGUCUGUUCUAAUAAUCAUCAUAUAUGCCAACGCUUUCACUCGCGCGCUGCUCUGAAAUGCGCUAAUAAUAAAGGUGCUGGUACUAUUCCGAUCAAAUAUUUUUGAGUUAUUCCCCGAUGCAUCUCGUCAGCUCAGAGUGGAAUCUAAAUAUCUCGAAAAGUAAAGAUAUCUUAGAAAUUAAAAAGAUUGAUAGAGAUUUUAUUAUUUGGCCAAUUUACGAGUGUGCUCGGAACACCUUGCACUGCAGUUGAUGCAUGCUUGCAGCAACAAUUUCUCAGCUGCGCGACUGUAGUAGCAGUAACAACUGAAACUGUACCAGUAUUCUUUCCGCCCUAAA